UGGCCAGACUCCUACGGGAGGCAGCAGUGGGGAAUAUUGCACAAUGGGGGAAACCCUGAUGCAGCGACGCCGCGUGAGUGAAGAAGUAUUUCGGUAUGUAAAGCUCUAUCAGCAGGGAAGAAAAUGACGGUACCUGACUAAGAAGCCCCGGCUAACUACGUGCCAGCAGCCGCGGUAAUACGUAGGGGGCAAGCGUUAUCCGGAUUUACUGGGUGUAAAGGGAGCGUAGACGGCAUGGCAAGUCAGAUGUGAAAGCCCGGGGCUCAACCCCGGGACUGCAUUUGAAACUGUCAGGCUGGAGUGCAGGAGAGGUAAGUGGAAUUCCUAGUGUAGCGGUGAAAUGCGUAGAUAUUAGGAGGAACACCAGUGGCGAAGGCGACUUUCUGGACUGUACCUGACGCUGAGGCGCGAAAGCGUGGGUAGCGAACGGGAUUAGAUACCCGAGUAGU
rnacentral:rRNA from 1 species